GGGCGAAUGGUCUAGAGGUAUGAUAUUCGCUUUGCAAGGUCAGGGAAUCACCCAAUCAGGUUGAUGUUGAUGAUAAUUGUGAUUGCGAAGGGUCCGGGGUUCAAUUCCCCGUUCGUCCA